GGGUUGUUUUCCAGUUCAAGAGUUCAAAGAAAUCAAAUAAUGGUACAGAUGUUAAUGCGGGUCAGAUACCUCAGUUAUUAUACAGACUUCCAACCAGUGAUGGCAGUGCUUCAAAAGGCAAACAGCAAACCAGUGAACCUGUACACAUUUUAAAGAGGUCUUUUGCAAGAACUGUCUCAGUGGUAAGCCAUUCAUUGUUGAGUAUUCUUCACUGGAGCUGGACCACCUUAGUCUUAGGAGUUGAAGAACUUAGAGGAUUAAAAGGAUUCCAGUUCACAGCUACACUCCUAGAUUUAGAGAGACUGCGCUUUGUGGGUACCUGUUGUCUGAGGUUAUUGCGUGUCUAUACCUGUGAAAUUUACCCAGUGUCAGCUACAGGAAAAGCAGUUGUAGAAGAAACUAGCAAAUUAGCAGAGUGUAUUGGAAAAACCAGAACUUUGUUAAGAAAAAUUUUAUCAGAAGGAGUUGAUCACUGCAUGGUGAAAUUGGAUAAUGAUCCUCAAGGAUAUCUCAGUCAACCCUUGAGUCUUCUAGAAGCUGUCCUUCAGGAAUGUCAUAAUACUUUCACUGCCUGCUUUCAUUCUUUCUACCCAACUCCUGCCUUACAGUGGGCUUGCCUUUGUGAUCUGCUGAAUUGUUUGGAUCAGGAUAUCCAAGAAGCAAACUUCAAGACAUCAAGUAGCCGACUCCUUGCAGCUGUUAUGUCAGCUCUGUGUCACACGUCUGUUAAGCUGACUUCCAUCUUCCCGAUUGCGUAUGAUGGAGAAGUAUUACUACGAUCAAUUGUUAAACAAGUUAGUACAGAGAACGACUCAACACUAGUUCAUCGUUUUCCCCUUUUG
rnacentral:lncRNA from 1 species